AGGCAAACAAAGAAACCUAAGGCAAGGCUCUAGGGAAAUAAAUAGCCCAGUUAGUAACGUAUCUUUCUUCAAACACAGGGACCCAAGAAAGUUGUAGAAGUACUGGCGAGUCUUCAGGCUGGUUCCAUCAUUCUGUUCACGUGCGGGGCCAGAGUGUGGUCAUUGCCUAGUGGACCUCAAGGCAGAAGGAGGCAAUGUUGCAGGGUUUAUUGGCACAAGGGUGGUCAGGGCCAAAUGGGCCUUGUGAGAAGAACAUGGCACUAGGGAAGAGGUGACACCCUGUAAGUGAAGGGAGGAGUCCUGAAUCUGGAUGUUGUGAUGAGGAAGGCAAGCUGGGAUGACAAGUGUCCAGGACCUGAACUCAAUGUCUGACUGUUGAGUGAAGAAUCUCAAGUCCCAUCCAUAUGAAAACCUAUCUAACUAGCUUUGAAGGGCAUGCAGGGAGGAGAGAGGUUGACCUACUUCUUGGAUGACCAAGUGAGCCCGAAGCCAAGACACCAACUUGGAAUUUCUUUCAAGAGGAGGGUCUUCUGUGAGCCACAUGUUUCAGAUGCCAACACCCGUGAGCUGGAGCUGAUUGUUGACUGUAUCUCAGCCACUGUCCAUCCUGUUCUGGGUGAUAGUUUGAUUAGGGUCAAGACAAGGAGAUAGGAACAGGAGACAUGGAGAGGAGCCUCCACUAUCAGGAAGAUGAUUCUGAAGAAAAGGAACUUUAGAUGAACCAGCGUUAGAAUUACCAGUGAGCAUAAA
rnacentral:lncRNA from 1 species